AAAACUCUGAGCCAGCAUUAGCUAAAACCCCAUGAGGAGUGCAGAAAGUAAAACAGUAAGACCAGUAUCCUAUUGCAGAAGCAUGGGGUUCCUGGGUUUUGUUUGCCUAGACCAACAAUUUCCUUCCUUCCUUCCUACAACUCGUCAUCCUUCCCUCUCUUCAGGAUACAGUUAGCUGAGCUAAUAUCACUGAGGGACUCUUCCAUGUAUUCCAGUCCUGCCUUACAUCAGGGCAGGUCAGUCAAUCAGCAGCAAAGGAUUUGUUGCCCUCACUAUGACAACCAUCUUGUUAUAAGGAAAGGGUUUGCAAGUCUUCACAUUCCAGUUCUUUUCUUAGAUAAAUACAUCAUUCUGUGAUGAAGGAUGGACAUUCGCAAGUUUUCCAUCCAGUCUCAUUAUGGAGUGAGUGGCUAUCAUGAUAUCUCUAUCCAGUUCACCAGUUGGCUUCCUUUGCCACAAGACUGUCAUCUUUUGCUGCUACAGACUAACUGCUUCACUGGAAACACAACUUGAAAUAAAACCUUCUUCAGUUGUAAAAGAUUAACCA
rnacentral:lncRNA from 1 species